AUUGAACGCUGGCGGAAUGCUUUACACAUGCAAGUCGAACGGCAGCACGGGGGCAACCCUGGUGGCGAGUGGCGAACGGGUGAGUAAUAUAUCGGAACGUGCCCAGUCGUGGGGGAUGACGUAGCGAAAGUUACGCUAAUACCGCAUACGAUCUACGGAUGAAAGCGGGGGAUCGCAAGACCUCGCGCGAUUGGAGCGGCCGAUAUCAGAUUAGGUAGUUGGUGAGGUAAAGGCUCACCAAGCCAACGAUCUGUAGCUGGUCUGAGAGGACGACCAGCCACACGGGGACUGAGACACGGCCCAGACUCCUACGGGAGGCAGCAGUGGGGAAUUUUGGACAAUGGGCGAAAGCCUGAUCCAGCCAUUCCGCGUGCAGGACGAAGGCCUUCGGGUUGUAAACUGCUUUUGUACGGAACGAAAAAGCCUUGGCUAAUACCCAGGGUCCAUGACGGUACCGUAAGAAUAAGCACCGGCUAACUACGUGCCAGCAGCCGCCGUAA
rnacentral:rRNA from 1 species